UAAUAAUAAAUAAUAAUGAUUAUAUUAAUAAUAAUAAAUAAUAAUAAUAAUAAUAAUAAUAAAUAAAUAAAAAAAAUAUCUAUUUUAAUAAUAAAAAAAAUAAUAAAUAAUAAUAAUAAUAUUAAAUAAAUAAUUAAUAAUAAAUAAUAAUAUUAUAUUUGUAUAUGUUUUUAUUUUGAAAUUUUUUAUAAGCAAACAAAAAAUUAAUGAAAUAAUUAAAAAAAAAAUGUUCCCUUGAAUGCUGCUAGCCUGCUACGGUGCUACCCUUGAGUCCUUGACUCAUUAAAAAAAAAAAAAGCAAAAAAAGAAAAGCAAAAACCUAAUAUAUCUCUCAAUUCAUUAGAUAGCCGCCCAAAUAGAACUCUCUCCUCUGUUUCAUCUUUCUCAAAGUUGUAGUUCAAGCUAUUUUCCUUCAACAAAUCAGGUUGCUGUUGCAAAGAUCAGACGACCAACGUACUAUUCCACAAAUCAGAAUGGAAGAUAAUAUUAGACGAGCAUCUAUCAUUUUUGCAUUAGAAGAAAUUAGAAGAUCACUUCAACCACUUUCUGGAUCAACACCAAGACAACCCAAUAGGGAAGGAGGAGAAAGUGGCGCUCAUUACAUACAUAGGUUGUUGACUGAUCCUACGCUAUGUAAAGAGCAACUACGACUUGAUAGGGGUAUGUUUGUCAAACUAGUGAACUUGAUGGUUGAAAGAAAAUUAUUAGAAGAUAGUAAAUAUAUAACGGUAGCCGAACAAGUUGGAAUUUGUUUAUACAUAUUAGCCAAGGGAGAUUCAUAUUGUGAUGCUUGCGGUACAUUCAAGCAUUUCGUAUCUACAAUAUGCAAGUAUUUUAGACAAGUAUUAGAUGCUUUGGUCGUAUUGUCGUUCGAUAUUAUUAGACCGCAUCGUGAUUUGUAUGAGAUUCCUCCUGAAGUAGAGGACGGUACACUCUAUUGUUAAGAUGGUGUGCCAUUUCGGGAUUACCAUGGGAAAAAGAGUUGGAAUGUGAUGGCUUGUUGCUCAUUUGACAGAAUUUUCACAUUUAUUAAUGUGGGAUGGGAGGGAAGUGCCCAUGAUGCUACGGUGUGGAAAGAUUCUUUAACUGAUUCAAAAUACUGUUUUCCGCAUCCACCUGAAGGAAAAUAUUAUAUGGUCGACUCAGGAUAUCCAAACACUCUUGGAUAUUUGUCUCCAGUAAGAAAUGAUGGAAUUAGAUGUUAUAUGCCGGAGUUUAGGCGUAGAAAACCUAAUGGAAUGGAAGAACAUUACAAUCAUCUACAUUCGUCAUUAAGAAUGAAAAUAGAAAUGUCAUUUGGUCAAUUGAAAAAAGGUGGAAGGUGCUCCAUACUAUGCCUCAAACGUCACUAAGGUGCCAAAUGAAGAUUAUUGUUUCUACUUUCACGCUUCAUAAUUUCAUAAGAAUGUGCACACUUGACAUACCAAUCAGACAACAUGGUCCAAGUAUUGGAAGAGUAGAUGAAAAUAUGUUGGAAGAAGGUCGUAAAACCGCCACGUUUCUAGUGAGAAAUGCUAUAGCUCAACAAAUUUGGGAUGUAAAGCGACCACGGAAAGAAAAUGUCAACGAUGAAGUUGAAGAUGGCGAUGAUGAUGAAGUUGAAGAUGGCAAUGAUGAUGAAGUAGAAGAUGACAAUGAUGAUGAAAUUGAAGAUGGCAAUGAACAUAUGAAAGUAGAUGAUUAGAAAAAUAAAAUGUAGUAGAAGACUAUUAAUUUUGUGAGCAAUGUAAAUUACACCUAUUGAUAUAAUAUUUAUUUUGUGAGCAAAUUUAAUUACA